AUUGAACGCUGGCGGCAUGCUUUACACAUGCAAGUCGAACGGUAACAGGCCGCCAGGUGCUGACGAGUGGCGAACGGGUGAGUAAUGCAUCGGAACGUGCCCAGCCGUGGGGGAUAACUACUCGAAAGAGUAGCUAAUACCGCAUACGAUCUAUGGAUGAAAGCGGGGGACCGUAAGGCCUCGCGCGAUUGGAGCGGCCGAUGUCAGAUUAGGUAGUUGGUGGGGUAAAGGCUCACCAAGCCAGCGAUCUGUAGCUGGUCUGAGAGGACGACCAGCCACACUGGGACUGAGACACGGCCCAGACUCCUACGGGAGGCAGCAGUGGGGAAUUUUGGACAAUGGGCGCAAGCCUGAUCCAGCAAUGCCGCGUGCAGGAAGAAGGCCUUCGGGUUGUAAACUGCUUUUGUACGGAACGAAACGGCUCUGGUUAAUACCCGGGGCUAAUGACGGUACCGUAAGAAUAAGCACCGGCUAACUACGUG
rnacentral:rRNA from 1 species